rnacentral:rRNA from 1 species
UGAGGAAUAUUGGGCAAUGCCCGCAAGGGUGACCCAGCAACGCCGCGUGGAGGAUGAAUGUCGUAAGAUUGUAAACUCCUGUUAGAGGGGAAGAAUAGUACCGGUUGGACCGGUAUAUGACUGUACCCUCAGAGAAAGCCCCGGCUAACUACGUGCCAGCAGCCGCGGUAAUACGUAGGGGGCAAGCGUUGUCCGGAUUUACUGGGUGUAAAGGGCGCGCAGGCGGAAUGGAAAGUCAGUGGUGAAAUCCUACAGCUUAACUGUAGAACUGCCUUUGAUACUUUCAUUCUUGAGUUCGGGAGAGAGAGAGACGGAAUUCCAGGUGUAGUGGUGAAAUACGUAGAUAUCUGGAAGAACACCAGUUGCGAAGGCGGUCUCUUGGUCCGAUACUGACGCUGAGGCGCGAAAGCGUGGGGAGCAAACA